rnacentral:rRNA from 1 species
AAGUAGAACGCUGAAGAGAGGAGCUUGCUCUUCUUGGAUGAGUUGCGAACGGGUGAGUAACGCGUAGGUAACCUGCCUUGUACCGGGGGAUAACUAUUGGAAACGAUAGCUAAUACCGCAUAACAAUGGAUGACCCAUGUCAUUUAUUUGAAAGGGGCAAAUGCUCCACUACAAGAUGGACCUGCGUUGUAUUAGCUAGUAGGUGAGGUAACGGCUCACCUAGGCGACGAUACAUAGCCGACCUGAGAGGGUGAUCGGCCACACUGGGACUGAGACACGGCCCAGACUCCUACGGGAGGCAGCAGUAGGGAAUCUUCGGCAAUGGGGUAACCCUGACCGAGCAACGCCGCGUGAGUGAAGAAGGUUUUCGGAUCGUAAAGCUCUGUUGUAAGUCAAGAACGAGUGUGAGUGGAAAGUUCACACUGUGACGGUAGCUUACCAGAAAGGGACGGCUAACUACGUGCCAGCAGCCGCGGUAAUACGUAGGUCCCGAGCGUUGUCCGGAUUUAUUGGGCGUAAAGCGAGCGCAGGCGGUUUGAUAAGUCUGAAGUUAAAGGCUGUGGCUCAACCAUAGUUCGCUUUGGAAACUGUCAAACUUGAGUGCAGAAGGGGAGAGUGGAAUUCCAUGUGUAGCGGUGAAAUGCGUAGAUAUAUGGAGGAGCACCGG